rnacentral:rRNA from 1 species
GAAUUUUGGACAAUGGGCGAAAGCCUGAUCCAGCACUGCCGCGUGCAGGAUGAAGGCCUUCGGGUUGUAAACUGCUUUUGUACGGAACGAAAAGCCUUUGGUUAAUACCCUGGAGUCAUGACGGUACCGUAAGCAUAAUCCCCGGCCAACUACGUGCCCGUAGCCGCGGUAAUACGGAGGGUGCAAGCGUGAAUCGGAAUUACUGGGCGUAAAGCGUGCGCAGGCGGUGUUGUAAGACAGAGGUGAAAGCCCCGGGCUCAACCUGGGAACUGCCUUUGUGACUGCAAGGCUAGAGUACGGCAGAGGGGGGUGGAAUUCCGCGUGUAGCAGUGAAAUGCGUAGAUAUGCGGAGGAACACCGAUGGCGAAGGCAACCCCCUGGGCCUGUACUGACGCUCAUGCACGAAAGCGUGGGGAGCAAAC